ensembl:lncRNA
AGAGCUGUUACUAAUGACAGAACAUGGCCUGCUAGCCACUAUUACAACCAAGGAGGGGUGCGGACCCAGGGAACCACAGUCUUGUGGGAAACGUGCCCUGAGGUAAUAGGGAGAGAAUAAAGAAUAAAAUGUCACCUGGAAGCAAAGAGAGGGCAAAAAUGUGAAGACUCUGCCAUUCAUAACACCUUAAGUCCAAUUUCACGCUAGCCCUAAAGGGAGGAUAGGAAACAGGAAAAGGAAGAUCGAGGAACAAGAAGUGGUCAGAAAUGAGUCUGGUUGCAGAGGAUCUGGUGGAGGACUCCAUGACCCCAGAAGACGCUGGAGCCGUUAGAUGAGAGAAGCCUUGAUCUGUGAAAGACUGCAUGGGUCAACCUCCAUUGGACUGUGAUAUGACCAUGUUUCUCCCAUUGGACUCUAAGCUUGAUGAGGACAAGGGCUGUGUCUAUUUCAUCCCCUGAUACACAUCUGGCACUGAGCACUGUGCCUGGCACACACUUCAUGAAUAUGUGUUGGGAAGAAAUGAAACCUGUGUGUAGGAGCCUCAGAUAGUCACCUGUUGGCCUCAGAGAAUUCACCUCCAAAGCCUCCAUUACACACAUACAUUUAUUGUAGUGGAAUGAAGAUCGGAGGAGCAAUAUUUGAAGUUUUGUCAAAUACUGUAGGGAGAGAAAUGAGCUCCUUUGUCCCCUGAGUGAUUGACUGGACUGUCCUGCGGAAGCGGCUGAGCAAGCUGAUGUCCAACCACGGUGGAAGAAUAUCUUGGCUCCCGACACAAAGAAGAAGAUGCAGAUCUGUGUGGUUGGAAUAACUAGGAUUGAAUUCUGAGGUGACGCUUGAUAAAAUGCUUAGCACAUAGUUAACCCUCGAUAAAUAUUAGCUUAUUGUUAACUCCUCUUAAUGACUGUUGGCUUUCCAGAGCCUAACUAUGAGAAAGAUUGUAAAGCUACUUCUAAACUCAGAGGGAAAAAAAAUGCCAUGAUCAAUUAGCCAUGUCACUUUGAGUGCGAGAUAGGGAAAUGGAACUUCUUGUCCUGGAUCUGGAAUCUAUUGCCUUAACCUUAAGCAAGCUUGAAAUAACUUACUGAGUUAGUGAAACUCACAAAGAGAUUGAACAGAAGUGAACUUUGGAUGAAGUUUAAUGUCGGUAGAGUGUCCAAAUGUUAUUUACUAUCAACAGCUGCACUAUGCAAUACAGGAGCCUCUAGCUACAUGUGGCAAUUUAAGUUUAAAUGAAUUAAACUUAAGUGAAAUUUAAAAUACAGUUCCUCACACUUCAAGGGCUCAAUAGUCACGUGUGCAUGUUGGUUACCAUGUCAGACAGCAUAGACCUGGAACACUCUCAUCCUCUCAGAAAGUUCCACUGGACAGAGCUGCUCUCUAGGAUGCCUGAGGAAAUUAUGCUAAUGCAUAAACUACAUAAACCUAUAUGUAGCCCACAGUACUACAAAUUUGUUUGGUUAGUGUGCUCACUUUUUUAAUCCUUGAGGAACAACAUGUUGAGUGGUCCCUGUGCUGGUCAGUUGAUAUUCAAAGCAGACUGGUUUUACUUACUAGGGGAUAGAACACAGAAGAAUGAAAAUCAAAAGAUUAAAUCUCUUAUCUUCUUGUAAGCAAUAAAAAGUAGUCAUCUUAGGGUUUUUGAGGCUAAGUAGGUGUUUAGAGUUUGAGGGCUAGUCACAGCCACAUGAGCAACGUCUAUUAAAUAAUAAUACCACUUUAGGGCUGGCCCCGUGGCCGAGUGGUUAAGUUCGCGCGUUCCGCUACAGGCGGCCCAGUGCUUCGUUGGUUCGAAUCCUGGGCGCGGACAUGGCACUGCUCAUCAGACCACGCUGAGGCAGCGUCCCACAUGCCACAACUAGAAGAACCCACAACGAAGAAUAUACAACUACGUACUGGGGGGCUUUGGGGAGAAAAUGGAAAAAAUAAAAAAUCUUUAAAAAAAAAAUAAUAAUAAUAAUAAUACCACUUUAAUAAGUCAUCCAAAACGUUCUACAAUCAGAUAAUCGUACUGUGGAGGGAUUUUUCUAAAGAUUGAAUAUUCUCUCAUUUACUUCAAGGUGAACUAACUGGAACCAUUAACCACCCUUUCUGUCUAUAAGGCGUAUGUAAAUGAAUGAAGCUGAUAAUUAUUUGUUGAUAUAUGUGCCUAACUAUAUAAAAAUACUGAGAAUUUUUAAAAAAUAAACUGUAACUAUA